rnacentral:tRNA from 1 species
UCCCUGAUAGUUCAGUUGGUAAAUAAUCUGCCUGUAAUGCAGGAGACCCAGGUUCGAUUCUUGGCUGGGAA